CAGAGGGUGCAAGCGUUAAUCGGAAUUACUGGGCGUAAAGCGCGACGUAGGUGGUUCGUUAAGUUGGAUGUGAAAUCCCCGGGCUCAACCUGGGAACUGCAUUCAAAACUGUCGAGCUAGAGUAUGGUAGAGGGUGGUGGAAUUUCCUGUGUAGCGGUGAAAUGCGUAGAUAUAGGAAGGAACACCAGUGGCGAAGGCGACCACCUGGACUGAUACUGACACUGAGGUGCGAAAGCGUGGGGAGCAAACAGGAUU
rnacentral:rRNA from 1 species